rnacentral:rRNA from 1 species
UACGACGGGGGCUAGCGUUGUUCGGAAUCACUGGGCGUAAAGGGCGCGUAGGCGGCUGUUCAAGUCGGGGGUGAAAUCCCGUGGCUCAACCACGGAAUGGCCUUCGAUACUGGACGGCUGGAGACCGGAAGAGGUGAGUGGAACUGCGAGUGUAGAGGUGAAAUUCGUAGAUAUUCGCAAGAACACCAGUGGCGAAGGCGGCUCACUGGUCCGGUUCUGACGCUGAGGCGCGAAAGCGUGGGGAGCAAACAGG